AGAACGGUUGAGCUAGUGAUGCAAAAUUACCGCAGUGAAAGUAAUUCUACAUCCGAUGAAGAAAUUACAGAAGCAGAAGAAAAGAAUGGUGAAACCUCGUCUGCAAUACAAAACUGUUCCGAAGUGAACGACUGCAAGAGUUAACUGAAGAAGAUUGCAAUGAUUUCAAAGUGCUUAGUUCGGGUUCAUCAGAUGAUUUCAUACCAGAAAACAGCAUGGAUUCUUCAUCAUCAUCACCAUCACCAUCUCCGAGGCCAAAGAAAAGGAGAGCUGCAGUUCAACAGAAACUGCAACUAUCUUUAGAAAACCUCGGCAAUGUCACAAAGGAGAUACAAUACGGAAAUCCACGUUCACCGACAAAUCAGCUAUUCAGUACUGAUUCUUCAAUUUGUGUGGCAAAGGUUUUGUGAUGUUAAUG